rnacentral:rRNA from 1 species
GCGACCUGCCCAUUGAAUUAUAUUUUUAACGGCCGCAGUACCUUGACUGUGCUAAGGUAGCAUAAUAAAUUGACUCUUAAUUGGGGCCUUGAAUGAAAGGAUUAAUGAAUAAUUUCUGUCUUAUGAUAAUUUAUUAGAAGCUACUUAAAAGGUGAAAAUUCCUUUAUAAUAUAAAAUAGACGAGAAGACCCUAGGAGUUUUAAAAUUUUGUUGGGGCGACAAUAUAGCAUAAAACCUAUAGAUAUAAUUUAUAUAAAUCGAAUUUUUUUAAUUAAAAAUAAACUACCCUAGGGAUAACAGCACAAUUUUAAUUUAAGUUUGUGACCUCGAUGUUGGACUAGGG